ensembl:piRNA 21ur-1871 ncRNA
UCGAAAGAGUUGGUUCUGAAG